AAAUUAUUCAGUGUAGUGUUUCCCACACACUAGUUGUCAUAAAAAGAUUUUCGUUCACCUUAUGAUGACAGUAUAAAGAACACUCGAUGCAUGCUGAGACAUGAAUUCACAUUUCUACCACUUCGGAAAGUAUCAAUAUCCUACGUGGAAAAUGGACUAGAAAAUACUGAUAAUAUUAAUGGUUUUAUGCAAUAUGGCAGUACAGCAGAUCACUCAAGGCUUGCUGAGACAUGACUUCGCAUUCAUACCACUUGGGAAAGUAUCAUCAUCUUACAUUGAAAAUUAACUGGAAGAUACUGAUAAUUAUAUAGGUUUUAUGCAAUGUACGUUAAAUGAUUAUUGAAUGUAAUUGAUAGUAAAUUAAUAGUAGUGUAACAAUUGAAAAUUUGUUAAAAGUCUGAAUAAAGGUUUGGGAAACACCGUUAGCUUGUAAUGUUAAUUCAUAAUACUUGCCUUAGCUAUAAAAAUCUUUUAAUAUUAUUUACUACGUUUAAUUGGUUUUACUUUAACCAUAACCCAAAGUGAUUUAAUUUAAAUUGUCAAG